rnacentral:rRNA from 1 species
AACGAACGCUGGCGGCAGGCCUAAUACAUGCAAGUCGAACGCACCGCAAGGUGAGUGGCAGACGGGUGAGUAACGCGUGGGAAUCUUCCUUGCAGUACGGAAUAACUCCGGGAAACCGGUGCUAAUACCGUAUACGUCCUUCGGGAGAAAGAUUUAUCGCUGCAAGAUGAGCCCGCGUCGGAUUAGCUAGUUGGUGGGGUAAAGGCCUACCAAGGCUACGAUCCGUAGCUGGUCUGAGAGGAUGAUCAGCCACACUGGGACUGAGACACGGCCCAGACUCCUACGGGAGGCAGCAGUAGGGAAUAUUGGACAAUGGGCGCAAGCCUGAUCCAGCCAUGCCGCGUGAGUGAAGUAGGCCUUAGGGUUGUAAAGCUCUUUUGGCGGGGAAGAUAAUGACGGUACCCGCAGAAUAAGCUCCGGCUAACUUCGUGCCAGCAGCCGCGGUAA